rnacentral:rRNA from 1 species
AUUGAACGCUGGCGGCAGGCUUAACACAUGCAAGUCGAGCGAGCGGCGGACGGGUGAGUAAUGUCUGGGCAACUGCCUGAUGGAGGGGGCUAACUACUGGAAACGGUAGCUAAUACCGCUUACCAUCAGAUGUGCCCAGAUGGGAUUAGCUAGUAGGUGGGGUAAUGGCUCACCUAGGCGACGCUCCCUAGCUGGUCUGAGAGGAGGACCGGCCAAACUGGAACUGAGAAACGGCCCAGACUCCUACGGGAGGCAGAGGUGGGGAAUAUUGCAAAAUGGGCGCAAGCCUGAUGAAGCCAUGCCGCGUGGGUGAAGAAGGCCUUCGGGUUGUAAAGCACUUUCAGCGAGGAGGCGUUACUCGCAGAAGAAGCAACGGCUAACUCCGUGCCAGCAGCCGCGGUAAUAC